CCUACGGGUGGCUGCAGUGGGGAAUAUUGGGCAAUGGGGGCAACCCUGAUCCAGCCAUGCCGCGUGUGUGAAGAAGGCCCUCGGGUUGUAAAGCACUUUCAGUGAGGAAGAACGCCUGGUGGUUAAUACCCAUCAGGAAAGACAUCACUCACAGAAGAAGCACCGGCUAACUCCGUGCCAGCAGCCGCGGUAAUACGGAGGGUGCGAGCGUUAAUCGGAAUUACUGGGCGUAAAGCGCGCGUAGGUGGCUUGAUAAGCCGGUUGUGAAAGCCCCGGGCUCAACCGGGGAACGGCAUCCGGAACUGUCAAGCUAGAGUGCAGGGGAGGAAGGUAGAAUUCCCGGUGUAGCGGUGAAAUGCGUAGAGAUCGGGAGGAAUACCAGUGGCGAAGGCGGCCUUCUGGACUGACACUGACACUGAGGUGCGAAAGCGUGGGUAGCAAACAGGAUUAGAUACCCUUGUAGUC
rnacentral:rRNA from 1 species